rnacentral:lncRNA from 1 species
UCUUGUAAUUUUUGUAUUGGGUUAAGUAUCAAUCAUAUUGACAAUUAUAUCUUUAAAGAUUCAUAAUCAUCGAUCAAUCAUCGGAUCAAACAACAAACUCUUUUGUGUAUGGCCACAUAGCUUCUAUUCUAUCUGGUAGUGAAACACAUUAUGAUUUUUAUCAUAAUAUCAUCGAAACUCUUUUCGAUGGAUUGAAACAAUUCCAACACUGUCCAUCGAGAAUCAUCGAUCAUCAAGAUAAUACUCAUGGAUCCCACAAUCCAUCAGUGACACCUACCAGUAUGUAGUGGCAAACCAGUAGAAUGAAAGUUUGAACCUCUAGGUACAGUUAUCAUAUGAUUCAGUCCUUUUAUCAAAAAUUCUGACUUGACGGAGAUCAUGGAUAACUCGUCAAAUUCCAUCAUCAGUCAUAUGCAAGAUUGGCUCGACUUGAGUUCUCUUAUGAAUCUCGUGAAAAUUUUUUUCCAGAAUUCACUCUUGCUUUAACCAAAGACUUACUGAACUCAAUCUCGCAAAUCACAUAGGACUAUACCUUUUCUACUAAGAUUGAUAAAUUUCAUCUAAAUACAUUCUACUCUUAACAGUAAACCUGAACCCACCAUAGCCAACAUACACAGCAAGAAUCCGAAUGGCUAAAGAUCAAGUAAACGUGCAAUCAAACUAUAAUAGCCUCAUUGCAAAUAGCCAAUGCACCAUAGGUCAAAGGACUAGUCAUACCACUGUAGCAUCGAGAAUACCACUAACGAGUGAGUAGACAUCCAAAUGGUUUCUCAUAAUAGUCAUGCUCAGUGCAAGUUGUUCUCUAAUAACCACGUGCAUUAUCAUCCUAAUAUCACCAUACUACAGACUCGAAACUCAUCUGCCUGUAAAGGAGGUGAUCGUGCACCGAUCUAACUGGAUCGAUCACUGUCCUCCGUGAUGAUCCUUUGAUCGGGAGCAUUUAGAAAUUAACCACUAAUAGUGUAUAUCUCAAAUUUUCAAUACCUUGAGAAUAUACAAAAUCAUCUUUGUUAAUUUCUAAGAUAAAUCAUGAACACAUAAACAUGACUGAAAAUAAAAAUACUCUUUAUUAAUAAUAAAAAUUUUACAAGUUCAAAUACAAGCCCUGAAAAUACAAAUGUGUCAGCUAAUAAUUGGCUUUCUAAGGCACACAUCUAACAAAAUCAAGAUCCAAUAGCUCGUCACAUAUCCUUCUUCUUAUCUUUUUUCAAUAUAGUAUUAAUCUUCUAUUGCAUGAAAUCUAUAUUAGAAAAUACAUAUGGAUCUAAGUCGUGGAUAGUGGCUCCUAUUGAAAUCUUCCUAGAGGACUUCUUUCUACCGCCAAAUACUCCCAAUAUGGAUGCAAGAUGACUAGUGCCUCUACUGACGAGCUCUCUAGCUGAGGAUGUCCUCCUAAACCAUGACUCAAACUUUGCUGUAAUGCUUCCUGAAUCUGAUCCAUCCUCAUAAGCUGACGACCGAAAUCGAGCUCUAUACCUGGCUACCUCCUCCUGCUGCCACUAAUCAUCCAAACUUGUCUGAAUGGCAGCAUUGAUCUGUGCCUGCUCAUCAUCUGAAGCCGAUCUUUUCUCUCACUCUCUAGAGUGAUAAGAAAGUAGCUCUACUGCUCAACGAUCCACCUAUAUCUUCUUCAUCAAAUUUCUUUCCUUUGCUAUUUUAAAAUCAGUGAAGUAUUUCUUCAUUAACUGACGAACCUCUUGUAGACACUUGUGGUACAUAGUUACAUCUGGAUAGCUCCCAGCCACAUAUUGCUUCAACCAUAUAACUCCUUCUCCCUUGAAUUCUAUGCUAUACUAUUUACAUCUUUAAUGAUACUGACCUGAGAGCAUCUCCUCAUGCUCCUAAUCAAUAUCACAUUUUGAAUCCUUUUUUCUUCCUUGAUAGAUUCAUUCUUGAAAAUUGAUAAGCACAUUACUUCAAUAAUUAUGUGAAAAUGAUAUAUUUCAUUUAUCUAAUUUUUUUAUAUUUUUUAAAUUAUUUAUUUAUUUUUAAUUUUUAAUAAAAUAUAAUAAAAUUUUAAAAAUAAUAAAAAAAAUAAUUUGAUCUUAGAUCCAUAUAGAAUCUUAUCAUGAAUACUACAUAUAAUUUUCUUAGACGGUGGA